rnacentral:rRNA from 1 species
CGCGUAGGCGGUCUCUUAAGUCAGAUGUGAAAGCCCGGGGCUUAACCCUGGAAGUGCAUUUGAAACUAAGGGACUUGAGUAUGGGAGAGGGAAGUGGAAUUCCUGGUGUAGAGGUGAAAUUCGUAGAUAUCAGGAGGAACACCGGUGGCGAAGGCGACUUCCUGGACCAAUACUGACGCUAAGGCGCGAAGGCGUGGGGAGCAAACAGGAUUAGAUACCCUGGUAGUC